CUUGAAUCUGUGUAGAUAUUGGCGCGCUUUUCUUCAGAUAUCUUGCAUGCUGAAGUUAGGGCUUGUAAUUCAGCUUCCUGCGCAGACAUUGUUGAUGGUAGAGAUGAUGACUUGAUAAUUUCAUCUGUUGUGGUGACGGCAUAUCCUGUGUGAUAUUUUCCUUCUUCAUCAGCACACCUUGAGCCGUCCACAAACAGGGUGAGGUCAGGAUCUAUUAGUGGAUCCUCAUGCACGGUUGGCAAAUGUGUUG